GGGUUAGUCCCGCAACGAGCGCAACCCUCGCCUUUAGUUGCCAGCAUUCAGUUGGGCACUCUAAAGGGACUGCCGGUGUCAAACCGGAGGAAGGUGGGGAUGACGUCAAGUCCUCAUGGCCUUUAUGUCCAGGGCUACACACGUACUACAAUGGCCGGUACAAAGGGCAGCGACACAGCGAUGUGGAGCGAAUCUCGAAAAACCGGUCUCAGUCCGGAUCGCAGUCUGCAACUCGACUGCGUGAAGUUGGAAUCGCUAGUAAUCGCGGAUCAGCAUGCCGCGGUGAAUACGUUCCCGGGCCUU
rnacentral:rRNA from 1 species